GCCGGGCAUUGUGGCGGGCGCCUGUGGUCCCAGCUACUUGGGAGGCUGAGGCAGGAGACUCGCUUGAGCCCGGGACUUGGAGGUUGCUGUGAGCUGUGGUGCCACGGCACUCUACACAGGAGGAUAGCUUGAGGCUCUGUCUCAAAAAAAAAAGGAAAAAAAAAUUUGAGACAGAGCCUUAAGCUGUCGCCCUGGGUAGAGUGCUAUGGCAUCACAGCUCACAGCAACCUCCAACUCCCAGGCUCAAACAAGGCUCCUGCCUCAG
rfam:Otolemur garnettii contig135018, whole genome shotgun sequence.